ensembl:lncRNA
CAGCCCUCCUCCUCUUUAAUAGAGUUGAUCAAUAACCUGCUGUUGACCCCUGGGCGACCUCUGACCCUCCAGCAGCUGAUUGAUGAAGCUCAUUUCACUUAUUGAUCGUUUUUAUUGUUGCUGUCUGAGCGGCUGCAGAACGAAGCGAAGAUGAAUCAGCGGUUUGGAUCGGCCUCGGGGCGUCUGAGAGGAGGUUGGAGGUCACGGAGGGUCGAGAUGAAGAGAUGGAGAGCAGACGGUGGAACAUCUGAGAGGCUUCAUGAAGAGGAGAAGAUCUGUGCAGGUUUCCCAAAGACUAUGGGUUGAGGAGGAAGUGGAAGCAGCUCUGAGGAGAGAGGGGUUUGCUGCAAAUGAUGAGUGGGUGCUCUGCAGUGAUCAUUUUAAACCUGUGGGUUUGACAGGGCUGGGCAGGUUUGUCAGUUUAGACCUGGUGUCAUUCCAUCAGUGUUAAACUUCCCGGUUCAUCUUGGAAGAGUACGUGCCAGAAAGACCACGACCAAACAGCCUUGAGAUCUUAGACAACGUCUCCCUCAGGUGGGUGUCAACGGUGUUCACGGUCAGGUCUGUGGUAAUCCCAUCAGAAAACAAAACAGAAAAAAU